rnacentral:tRNA from 1 species
GCGGUAGUAGCGCAAUGGUAGCGCAUCAGUUUCCCAUACUGAGGGUUGCGAGUUCGAGCCUCGUCUACCGCU